CGGGUGAGUAACACGUGAGUGACCUCGUCCUUUUAGACGUAGGAAACUAACGUUAACCGAAAGGUGAGACUAAUGCCGGAUGAGUUAUAUAAGUGCAUGUUUAUAUAGGAAAAGUUGGGGAGACCUGACGCUGAAAGAUGGACUCGCGUCCCAUUAGCUAGUUGGUAGGGUAAUGGCCUACCAAGGCGACGAUGGGUAGCCGGCCUGAGAGGGUGGCCGGCCACACUGGGACUGAGACACGGCCCAGACUCCUACGGGAGGCAGCAG
rnacentral:rRNA from 1 species